ensembl:snRNA U6 U6 spliceosomal RNA
GUGCUCGCUUCGGCAGCACAUAUACUAAAAUUGGAACGAUACAGAGAAGAUUAGCACGCCCCUGUGCAAGGAUGAUAAGCAAAUUCAUGAAGCAUUCCAUAUUUGU